rnacentral:rRNA from 1 species
CCUGGCUUAGGAUGAACGCUAGCGACAGGCCUAACACAUGCAAGUCGAGGGGCAGCACAAGGAGCAAUCUGAGGUGGCGACCGGCGCACGGGUGAGUAACACGUAUGCAACCUGCCUGUAAGCGGGGAAUAACCCGUUGAAAGACGGACUAAUACCGCAUAAUACUAAAUUACUGCAUGGUAAUUUAUUUAAACAUUUAUGGCUUACAGAUGGGCAUGCGCAUGAUUAGCUAGUUGGAGAGGUAACGGCUCCCCAAGGCAACGAUCAUUAGGGGUUCUGAGAGGAAGGUCCCCCACACUGGUACUGAGACACGGACCAGACUCCUACGGGAGGCAGCAGUGAGGAAUAUUGGUCAAUGGACGAGAGUCUGAACCAGCCAAGUCGCGUGCAGGAAGAAUGUUCCCUAUGGAUUGUAAACUGCUUUUGCAGGGGAAUAAAGUGCAUCACGUGUGAUGUUUUGUAUGUACUCUGCGAAUAAGGAUCGGCUAACUCCGUGCCAGCAGCCGC